GAUUAAGCCAUGCAUGUCUAAGUACAGGCUUUAUAAAAGCGAAACCGCGAAUGGCUCAUUAAAUCAGUUAUGGUUCCUUAGAUCGUGCCACGUUACUUGGAUAACUGUGGUAAUUCUAGAGCUAAUACAUGCAGCGGAGCUCCGAUCCCGCGAGGGUGACGAGCGCUUUUAUUAGACCAAGGCCAAUCGUUCGGUGACGACUCUGGAUAACUUUGUGCGGAUCGCAAGGGCGCGUCCCGGCGACGCAUCUUUCAAGUGUCUGCCUUAUCAACUGUCGACGGUAGGUCACGUGCCUACCGUGGUCGUAACGGGUGACGGGGAAUCAGGGUUCGAUUCCGGAGAGGGAGCCUGAGAAACGGCUACCACAUCCAAGGAAGGCAGCAGGCGCGCAAAUUACCCACUCCCGGCACGGGGAGGUAGUGACGAAAAAUAACGAUGCGGGUCUCUUCGAGAUUCCGCAAUCGGAAUGAGAGGGUCUCAAAUCCUCCUUCGAGGAUCUAUUGGAUGGCAAGUCUGGUGCCAGCAGCAGCGGUAACACCAGCUCCGAUAGCGUAUAUUAAAGUUGCUGCGGUUAAAAAGCUCGUAGUCGGAUUUCCGUUCUGGAGGGGUGGUCCGCUACCGGCGGUCACCGCCUGCCCGGAACAAGUGGCCGGUUUCUCUCGAUGACCUUGACCGGUCGUCCCGAGCGACCGGCGCGUUUACUUUGAGAAAAUUAGAGUGCUCGAAGCGGGCGCGACGCCUGGAUAAUGGUGCAUGGAAUAAUGGAAUAGGACCUCCGUUCUAUUUCGUUGGUCUUAGGAGCGCGAGGUAAUGAUCGAGAGGGACAGACGGGGGCAUCCGUAUCGCGGCGACAGAGGUGAAAUUCUUGGACCGUCGCGAGACGAACUACCGCGAAAGCAUUUGCCAAGGAUGUUUUCAUUAAUCAAGAACGAAAGUCAGAGGUUCGAAGGCGAUCAGAUACCGCCCUAGUUCUGACCAUAAACGAUGCCGACCGGCGAUCCGCCCGAGUUCCUCAAAUGACUCGGCGGGCAGCUUCCGGGAAACCAGAGUUUUUUGGUUCCGGGGGAAGUAUGGUUGCAAAGCUGAAACUUAAAGGAAUUGACGGAAGGGCACCACCAGGAGUGGAGCCUGCGGCUUAAUUUGACUCAACACGGGGAAACUCACCCGGCCCGGACACCGGAAGGAUUGACAGAUUGAGAGCUCUUUCUUGAUUCGGUGGGUGGUGGUGCAUGGCCGUUCUUAGUUGGUGGAGCGAUUUGUCUGGUUAAUUCCGUUAACGAUCGAGAUUCUAGCCUACUAAAUAGAGGGCUCUUGCGAGUCCGAGGGCCCGUCUUCUUAGGGGGACGGGCGGCGUCCAGCCGCACGAGACGGAGCAAUAACAGGUCUGUGAUGCCCUUAGAUGUCCGGGGCCGCACGCGCGCUACACUGAAGGAAACAGCGUGUGUUCUCCCGGUCCGGCGGGACCGGGUAACCCGCUGAACCUCCUUCGUGAUAGGGAUAGGGGAUUGUAACUGUUCCCCUCGAACGAGGAAUUCCUAGUAGUCGCGGAUCAUCAGUCCGCGGCGACUAGGUCCCUGCCCUUUGUACACACCGCCCGUCGCUACUACCGAUUGAACGAAUUAGUGAGGUCUUCGGACUGGCGUUCUCUCUGGGCUCCGUCCGGGGGGACCUGCCGGAAAGAUGACCGAACUUGUUCGUUUAGAGGAAGUAAAAGUCG
rnacentral:rRNA from 1 species